UACGGAGGGAGCUAGCGUUGUUCGGAAUUACUGGGCGUAAAGCGCACGUAGGCGGCUUUCCAAGUUGGCGGUGAAAGCCCCGGGCUCAACCUGGGAAUGGCAAUGGAUACUGGCAGGCUAGAGUGCGGUAGAGGGUAGUGGAAUUCCCGGUGUAGCAGUGAAAUGCGUAGAGAUCGGGAGGAACACCAGUGGCGAAGGCGGCUACCUGGACCAGCACUGACACUGAGGCACGAAAGCGUGGGGAGCAAACAGG
rnacentral:rRNA from 1 species